GCCCUGGUGGUGGAAUGGUAGACACGAGGGACUUAAAAUCCCUUGGCCCGAAACGGCUGUGCGGGUUCGAGUCCCGCCCGGGGCA
rnacentral:tRNA from 1 species